GGGUGAGUAACACGUGAGCAACCUGCCCCUGACUCUGGGAUAAGCGGUGGAAACGCCGUCUAAUACCGGAUACCACCCCCCUCCUCUUGGUGGAGGGUGGAAAGUUUUUCGGUCAGGGAUGGGCUCGCGGCCUAUCAGCUUGUUGGUGGGGUAACGGCCUACCAAGGCGAUUACGGGUAGCCGGCCUGAGAGGGCGACCGGCCACACUGGGACUGAGACACGGCCCAUACUCCUGCGGGAGGCAGCAGUGGGGAAUAUUGCGCAAUGGGCGAAAGCCUGACGCACCGACGCCGCGUGGGGGAUGACGGCCUUCGGGUUGUAAACCUCUUUUACCACCAACGCAGGCUUCCAGUUCUCUGGAGGUUGACGGUAGGUGGGGAAUAAGGACCGGCUAACUACGUGCCAGCAGCCGCGGUAAUACGUAGGGUCCGAGCGUUGUCCGGAAUUAUUGGGCG
rnacentral:rRNA from 1 species